GACGAACGCUGGCGGCGUGCCUAAUACAUGCAAGUUGAGCGAUGAAGCUUGGUGCUUGCACCAAUUUGAAGAGCAGCGAACGGGUGAGUAACGCGUGGGGAAUCUGCCUUUGAGCGGGGGACAACAUUUGGAAACGAAUGCUAAUACCGCAUAACAACUUUAAACUUAAGUUUUAAGUUUGAAAGAUGCAAUUGCAUCACUCAAAGAUGAUCCCGCGUUGUAUUAGCUAGUUGGUGAGGUAAAGGCUCACCAAGGCGAUGAUACAUAGCCGACCUGAGAGGGUGAUCGGCCACAUUGGGACUGAGACACGGCCCAAACUCCUACGGGAGGCAGCAGUAGGGAAUCUUCGGCAAUGGACGAAAGUCUGACCGAGCAACGCCGCGUGAGUGAAGAAGGUUUUCGGAUCGUAAAACUCUGUUGGUAGAGAAGAACGUUGGUGAGAGUGGAAAGCUCAUCAAGUGACGGUAACUACCCAGAAAGGGACGGCUAACUACGUG
rnacentral:rRNA from 1 species